AUACCGUGAUGAGGACAUUUUCUAAGUACAUUCUUGAACCUAUUCCAAGCUUCAUCAAAGAAUUCAAAUUCAGCUUGAUGAACGAUAGAUAUGUCAUGCUUCAACCU
rnacentral:snoRNA from 1 species